GCCAGUGUGCUGUAGUGAUUUGAAUGCUGGACUACAACUCCGGAGACGGGUUCGAAUCCCGACUUGUCC